GAUGAACGCUGGCGGCGUGCCUAAUACAUGCAAGUCGAGCGAACAGACGAGGAUCUUGCUCCUUGCACGUUAGGGGCGCACGUGUGUGUAACACGAGGAAACCCCCCUUGAAAUUCGGGUAUAAUUUGGGAAAACGGGAUCAAAUCCGGUAUAAGAUAUUGAUCCCCAGGGUUGAUUGGUAAAAUACGGUUUUUCGGGAACUUAUAGAGGGUUCCCCGCCGCAUUGGCUGGUUGUUAAGUUACCGGCUUACCAAGGGAACCAUGCGUAGACGACUGAAGAGGGUGAUAGGCCACACUGGAAGUGAGACACGGUCCAGAGUCCUACGGGAGGCAGCAGUAGGGAAUGUUCCGCAAUGGGCGAAAGCCUGACGGAGCAACGCCGCGUGAGUGAUGAAGGUCUUCGGAUCGUAAAACUGUGUUAUUAGGGAAGAACAAAUGUGUAAGUAAAUAAGCACGUCUUGACGGUACCUAAUCAGAAAGCCACGGCUAACUACGUG
rnacentral:rRNA from 1 species